AUGAACAACUUCCACGUCUACGAGGCCAUUGGCCGCGGCAAGCACUCGAUGGUGUACAAGGGGCGGAAGAAGAAAGCCAUCGAGUACUUCGCCGUCAAGAGCGUCGACAAGUCGCAGCGCUCCAAGCUCCUCAACGAGGUCCGGAUGCUUCAUUCUUUAGAUCAUGCAAAUGUCCUGAAAUUUUACUCUUGGUACGAAACUUCAGCACAUUUUUGGCUAGUAUUGGAAUAUUGUGUUGGUGGAGACCUCAAGGGCUUGCUCGAGCAGGAUAAAAAGCUGCCUGAAAGUGCCAUGCACGACCUGGCUUAUGAUCUUGUCAAAGCCCUCCUGUUCUUGCAUUCACAAGGAAUUAUAUAUUGUGAUCUGAAGCCAUCUAACAUUCUAAUUGAUGAGUUUGGAUGCAUGAAGCUGUGUGAUUUUGGAUUAGCAAGACGUUUAAAGGACAUUGAGAAGACCGAUCCUGGAGUGCCACAACCUAUGAGGGGGACACCAUGUUACAUGGCUCCUGAGUUGUUCCAAGAGGGAGGGGUCCACUCAUAUGCUUCUGAUUUCUGGGCUCUUGGUUGUGUGCUUUACGAAUGCUAUGCAGGAAGACCUCCUUUUGUGGGCUGUGAAUUUACCCAGUUAGUCAAAUCCAUACUUUCAGAGCCUGCACCACCUUUACCUGAUAACACACCAAGGUCUUUCCAGAAUCUGAUCAACUGCUUACUCAUGAAAGACCCAGCUGAAAGACUACAGUGGACUGAAUUAUGUUCACACAACUUUUGGAGGAACAGUAUGCCGAUGAUUCCUUUACCUCCUCAGCCUGCCUUUGAUAACAUGGUUGGACCUCCCACUACGCCAUAUUUAGCUGAGCGAAAUGGGGAUAAACCCCCGAGACAGCUGACGCCACCCAAGACUUGUGAACACCUACGCAAGAAAGAUGAAAAUUCCGCCAAGGCGUUCACGACUCCUGUUAAGAAUGUGCAAACUGGUAAGAAAAAUAAUCCAAAACCUUGUAAGGCUGAUGGUUUGAAGGGUGUAAAUGUCCUUAGAAUGUCUCGCAUAGCUAAGAGAAAUUUGCAAAGGGAAAAGGCCAAGGGGAACUACAGGCGCCCUCCCACAGAAACAGACGAAAAUGAGGCUGAAGUUAAGAUCGAAAAUAAUGACAUGGAGCUUGAUUUUGGUGAAAAUCCAGAAGGCGAUGCACCUGAUGAUAAUGAUGGAUCAGAUAAUGCUGGAUCCACAGCAGAUGAAAAACAUAGGACUCAAGGAACUGAUGGAAAUGAAGAGAACUGCGUAAAUCAGGUGGACAUGCUCAUGGAUGAGUGUUCUGUUAAGCCUGAUACCGUGUUGAAAGCUGAGCAGACUUGUUCAGAGAAUCUUGAUGUGGUGGCCACUCCACCUAGUUUCUGUAUGAGGAAAGCACGUCCAAAGACAACUUCUGGUGCUGCAACAGGUUCUGAGCCGUCUAACAUCUUUGAAGCAUUCUGGCAUCCAACAGACCUUGCAGUUAAACCAGUCAUGCCCAGUAAAAAAGGAGAUAAAGCUACAGAGACCAUCUCUGUGCUUCCUUUUGAAGCUCUUACUGCUGCUGAUUAUAUCAAGUUACCACGAGAACAGGUGAAUGCAUUCAAUAGCCAGAUAAUUCAGAGUUUGAGUGGAUCUUUUCAGGUUUCAGAAAAACAGAAUAUCAUCAGAUACCUGGAGUUGUUAAGCAUGAACUCUGAUGCUGCAAAUAUAAUCACUAAUGGCCCAAUUAUGUUGCUGCUUAUAAGAAUGCUCCGACUAUCGAAAACUUCAGUCUUGCGUGUCCAGGUUGCUUCACUUAUGGGACUGCUGGUACGCUACUCCACUAUCCUUGAUGCAGAGCUAGCUAGUUCAGGAAUUAUUAAUGCUUUGUCAGAUGGCUUAAGGGACCGGCACAAUAAACUGAGGAGAUUCUGUAUGGCAACACUUGGAGAAUUACUGUUCUACAUAUCAACACAAUUUGAUCAGGAUAGCAAGGAAAGCAAUGCCGAAGAAUCUCCUAUGAAGGACAACAAAUCUGGUGCUUUGUGGCAGGUCCCUAGUGCUGUAAUAGCACUGGUGUCGUCUAUCUUGCGUAAAGGGGAAGAUGAUCUGGCCCAGCUUUAUGCCUUACGAACAAUUGAUAAUAUAUGUAGCCAAGGGACAGAUUGGACAUCACGGUUUGCUUCCCAAGAUGCAAUUGGUCAUCUUUGCUACAUCUAUAAAGCAACUGGGAAGCAGGAGAAUACAAGGCUUAUUGCAAUUUCUUGUUUGAGCCGCCUAGCUCGAUUCAGUUCGUCAUGUACUCAUUUAAUACUGGAGAAGCUAUUGUUCAAGGAUAUCGCAUGCACACUCUUUAAGGGCAAUCCACGUGAGCAACAGAUCAGUCUGAAUCUUCUGAAUUCAGCAUUAGUGAACAGUCAUACCAUACCAAAUAUGAACCGCUAUAUUCAGUCGUUAACCGAGGAGAAACAGUUGGUCCCUGGACUUAUUUCUCUGAUAGAACAGGGAUCUGACAUUCUGCGUGGAAAAACCCUUCUAUUUGUUGCUCUUCUUUGCAAGAACAGUCGAAGGUGGCUUCCACAAUUCUUUUGCAAUGCAAAGCUGCUAUCAGUAGUCGAUAGAUUGGGAAAGGAGAAGGAUGGUUUCAUCCACCAAUGUACAGAAGCAUUUGUUCAGUUAGUUGCUUUGUUGGUCCCAGGCAUUCUUGACACUGUAUCCAGUGAUAUACAGCAGGUCAUGGGUGGCAAACGUCAUGGACCUAUUACUGCUUUAACUGCACGUACUCAUCCAAAGAGCACAAUUCAUUUGUUCCCUGUUAUCCUUCAUCUUCUUGGGAGCGUAUCCUUCUAUCACAGAGUUGUGACAAGUCAAGUAUUGCUCCAGUUGGCUAAUCUUAUGAAGAUAUUGGAGACGCCAUUUCAGGCUCGGGAUGAUUUCCAAAUGACAUUGCUGCGAGUUCUAGAGGCAGCUAUCGAGGAGUCUUCUGUUAUACUUACGGAACACAAAAUAUUCACAAGUCGAUUCCUUCCGAGCUUAUUCAUCUUAUACAAGGGCAAUAAAGACUGUGAUGCCAGAUUCCUAUGUUUGAAGAUACUGUCUGAUGUGAUGAUUGUGAUCUUCAGUGAUUCUUCAUUGACCGCAGACGAACAAACGUUGGCUGACCUGAAAACAAUCUCUCACAAAUAUUUUCUCCCUCUGUACCCUUCAUUUGCAGAGGAUGAAGAUCCAAUACCUAUGUAUGCACAGAAACUUCUAGUAAUGCUGAUGGAGCAUGAUUGCGUUAAGGUAUCUGAUAUCCUGAAUGAAGCGACAGUAUCCCAGUGCUUCGAAUUUUUGCUUGGAGAUCUUUCAAAUGCAAACAUAAGCAAUGUGAAGCUUUGUUUUGCUCUAGCAUCUGCUCCUGACAUGGACUCCAAUGUCCUUUCACAGCUUCAAGUUGUCAGAAGAAUAGGGAAUCUAGUUGAGUUUGUGACUGCCAAAGAUAUGGAUGAUUUUCUGGAACCAACCUUGGAACUCUGCAGAGCUUUCAUUAUCCGUGGCAUCGGCAGCAACAGAAGUAUCGCCCUUACCAAAGAACCAGCACUCCUUGUUGACAGCGCCUUCAGCAUGAGCAUUGCUGUAAGCGAUUUGGCGUCAGAUUGCGUGGUGUUGCUGCUCAAGGCAGCACCUCAAGAGGCCACGAUGGGCUUGCUGACAAAUCUUCCUAAACUGAGCGCUCUUUUGGACUCGUUGAAGCAUGGUGUCUCCCUCCAGCUGACUCGCCUGCUAUACAGCCUAGCAUUCUCCUGCAGGCAGUAUCUAGCCCAAGGAAUGAUACUCUCAAUAUCGGUGCCAGCUCUGAUGCGAGUAGAAGCGCUUGUCUUGGCUUUCAAGGGCUCACAUGACAGCUGCCUUGCUGAUGCUGCUUUGUAUCUGGGUGCCGAACUGCAGCGCCUACCUUGCUGUAGUUGA
rnacentral:rRNA from 1 species